GACGAACGCUGGCGGCGUGCCUAAUACAUGCAAGUCGAACGCACUCUCGUUUAGAUUGAAGGAGCUUGCUCCUGAUUGAUAAGCAUUUGAGUGAGUGGCGGACGGGUGAGUAACACGUGGGUAACCUGCCCUAAAGUGGGGGAUAACAUUUGGAAACAGAUGCUAAUACCGCAUAAAACCUAGCACCGCAUGGUGCAGGGUUGAAAGAUGGUUUCGGCUAUCACUUUAGGAUGGACCCGCGGUGCAUUAGUUAGUUGGUGAGGUAAAGGCUCACCAAGACCGUGAUGCAUAGCCGACCUGAGAGGGGUAAUCGGCCACACUGGGACUGAGACACGGCCCCAGACUCCUACGGGAGGCAGCAGUAGGGAAUCUUCCACAAAUGGACGAAAGUCUGAUGGAGCAAACGCCCGCGGUGAGUGAAGAAGGUUUUCGGAUCGUAAAACUCUGUUGUUGGAGAAGAAUGUAUCU
rnacentral:rRNA from 1 species